CACGUAGGGGGCAAGCGUUGUCCGGAUUUAUUGGGCGUAGAGAGCUCGUAGGUGGUUCGGUAAGUCGGGUGUUAAACCCCCAGGCUCAACCUGGGGACGCCACUCGAUACUGCUGUGACUAGAGUCCGGUAGGGGAGCGUGGAAUUCCUGGUGUAGCGGUGAAAUGCGCAGAUAUCAGGAAGAACACCCGUGGCGAAGGCGGCUCUCUGGGACGGUACUGACGCUGAGACGCGAAAGCGUGGGGAGCGAACAGG
rnacentral:rRNA from 1 species